AAGACCUUGCACUUUUGGAGCGGCCGAUGUCUGAUUAGCUAGUUGGUGGGGUAAUGGCCUACCAAAGCUUCGAUCAGUAGCUGGUCUGAGAGGACGGCCAGCCACACUGGGACUGAGACACGGCCCAGACUCCUACGGGAGGCAGCAGUGGGGAAUUUUGGACAAUGGGCGCAAGCCUGAUCCAGCCAUGCCGCGUGAGUGAAGAAGGCCUUCGGGUUGUAAAGCUCUUUCAGCCGGGAAGAAAAGGUUGCGACUAAUAAUCGCAAUUCAUGACGGUACCGAAAGAAGAAGCACCGGCUAACUACGUGCCAGCAGCCGCGGUAAUACGUAGGGUGCGAGCGUUAAUCGGAAUUACCGGGCGUAAAGGGUGCGCAGGCGGUUUUGUAAGUCAGAUGUGAAAUCCCCGGGCUUAACCUGGGAACU
rnacentral:rRNA from 1 species